UACGGAGGGGGCUAGCGUUGUUCGGAAUUACUGGGCGUAAAGCGCACGUAGGCGGCUUUGUAAGUUAGAGGUGAAAGCCCAGGGCUUAACCCUGGAAUUGCCUUUAAGACUGCAUCGCUAGAAUCGUGGAGAGGUGAGUGGAAUUCCGAGUGUAGAGGUGAAAUUCGUAGAUAUUCGGAAGAACACCGGUGGCGAAGGCGGCAUCCUGGACCGGUAUUGACGCUGAGGCGCGAAAGCCAGGGGAGCAAACGGG
rnacentral:rRNA from 1 species